GACGUAGGGCGCAAGCGUUGUCCGGAAUUAUUGGGCGUAAAGAGCUCGUAGGCGGUCUGUCGCGUCGGCUGUGAAAACCCGGGGCUCAACCCCGGGCCUGCAGUCGAUACGGCAGACUAGAGUUCGGUAGGGGAGUCUGGAAUUCCUGGUGUAGCGGUGAAAUGCGCAGAUAUCAGGAGGAACACCGGUGGCGAAGGCGGGACUCUGGGCCGAUACUGACGCUGAGGAGCGAAAGCGUGGGGAGCAAACAGG
rnacentral:rRNA from 1 species